rnacentral:misc_RNA from 1 species
GAAAUGCGAUACUUGGUGUGAAUUGCAGGAUCCCGCGAACCACCGAGUCUUUGAACGCAAGUUGCGCCCGGAGCCUUCUGGCCGAGGGCACGUCUGCCUGGGCGUCACGCAUCGCUGCCCCCACCACACAACUCUCCCCAUGCGGGGUCGUUGUGAAGGCAGGGACACACACUGGCCUCCCGUACGCACCGUCGUGCGGAUGGCUUAAAUUCGAGUCCUCGAUGCUCGUCGUCGCGACACUACGGUGGUUGAUUCAACCUCGGUGACGCGUCUCGACCUCGACGUCGACUUCACGGACUCCUUCACGACCCUUCGAACGCCGCCCCUUGAAAGGACGACGCUCUCGACGCGACCCCAGGUCAGGCGGGACUACCCGCUGAGUUUAA